rnacentral:rRNA from 1 species
UACGUAGGGUGCAAGCGUUGCUCGGAAUCACUGGGCGUAAAGCGCACGUAGGCGGAUUGUUAAGUCAGGGGUGAAAUCCUGGAGCUCAACUCCAGAACUGCCUUUGAUACUGGCGAUCUCGAGUCCGGGAGAGGUGAGUGGAACUGCGAGUGUAGAGGUGAAAUUCGUAGAUAUUCGCAAGAACACCAGUGGCGAAGGCGGCUCACUGGCCCGGUACUGACGCUGAGGUGCGAAAGCGUGGGGAGCAAACAGG